rnacentral:rRNA from 1 species
CAAAAACAUAGCUUAAUGUACUUAUAUUAGGUGUUUCCUGCUCAAUGACAAUUUAAAUAGCCGCAGUACUUUGACUGUGCAAAGGUAGCAUAAUCAAUUGGCUUAUAAUUGAAGUCUGGAAUGAAAGGAUACACGGGGAAUUACUAUAUCUGAUAUAUAACGUAAAAUUGGUUUUCAAGUGCAAAUACUUGUAGGUAAUUGUUAGACGAGAAGACCCUAGAAAUUUGCAAAGCUGUUUAGUUGGGGCAACGUAGUAGGAGAUAACCUACAGUAAGGACAAGAAAUAGAUUAGGUAGAAAAAAUUACUCUAGGGAUAACAGCAUAAUUUAUAAAAGUUUGUGACCUCGAUGUUGGAUUUGGGAAUUAUAGUUCAGAAGACUAUUAAUAUUGCUCUGUUC